GCCCAGAGGUGGUGCGGAGCGGCGUCGGUGGGCCUAGCGGAGGCGGAGCUUGAGGGGCAGCGACCUCGGGGGUGCGGCCUGACGGAGGGGCAGCGGGGCAGGAGCAGAGGGGGAGCUGCCGAGGUGGCUCGGUGCGGCUAGGAGACGGGCGGUUGCGACUGUGGCUCUGGCUGCGGCGACGAUGGGUCAUGCUGAUGCCACAACCGCUGGGGAGAGAGAACGGUCUCGUUGGUC
rnacentral:rRNA from 1 species